UACGUAGGGUGCGAGCGUUAAUCGGAAUUACUGGGCGUAAAGCGUGCGCAGGCGGUCUGUUAAGACCGAUGUGAAAUCCCCGGGACCUUAACCUGGGAACUGCAUUGGUGACUGGCAGGCUUUGAGUGUGGCAGAGGGAGGUAGAAUUCCACGUGUAGCAGUGAAAUGCGUAGAGAUGUGGAGGAAUACCGAUGGCGAAGGCAGCCUCCUGGGCCAACACUGACGCUCAUGCACGAAAGCGUGGGAGCAAACAGG
rnacentral:rRNA from 1 species